rnacentral:rRNA from 1 species
GACGAACGCUGGCGGCGUGCUUAACACAUGCCAGUCGAACGGACAGACCCUGCUUUUGCGGGUUUCUCGAUUGGCGAACGGGUGAGUAACACGUGAGUAACCUGCCCUUGUCUUUGUGAUAACUUCACGAAACUCGGGCUAAUACCGGAUAUGAGCUCCUGCUGCAUGUUGUGGGUUGGAAAGUUUCGGCCGUUGGGGAUGGACUCGCGGCUUAUCAGCUUGUUGGUGUGGUAGUUGCUUACCAAGGCUUUGACGGGUAGCCGGCAUGAGAGGGUGAACGGCGACAAUGGGACUGAGAUACGCAGCAGAAGCGUACGGGAGGCAGCAGGGGGGAGUAUGACGCAAUAGGCGGAAGCGAGAGGCAGAAGUGUCGCGUGCGGGAUGACGGGCUUCGAGUGAUGAACCAAUGUGGAAUGAGACGAAGAGUGAGUGACGGUAAUGGGUAAAGAAGCAACGGCUAACUACGUG